rnacentral:lncRNA from 1 species
GGUAGCCCGGCAGAGAGCCUACCACUUGGGCUGGGAUCGAACCGUGACCGUAGCCCGGCAGACAGCCUACCACUUGGGCUGGGAUCGAACCUACCACUUGCACUGGGAUCGAACCUGUGACCUUAGCCCGGCAGAGAACCUAACACUUGGGCAGGGAUCGAACCUACCACUUGCGCUGGGAUUGAACCUGUGAUCGUUUGAUCUUGCUGUCCUUCAAAUUGUAAAACUUAAGCUACAAGACAGUAUUGUUUUUAUUUUGGAUAGGGAACUCUGCAUUGACAGAGCCAUUCUUAGAUAGAUGCCCCUGGAUAGGGAACUCUGCAUUGCCAGAGCCAUUCUUAGAUGCCCCUUUCUCUUUUAGGUAGAUAGGGAAUUAAAUUGUGUAGAUAGGGAAGAUCUCUCUGGUGAUUACGAGAAGCAGAGAACCAGCUAGUAAUGUUACCGUGUUUAGAUUAUGGCUCAGAUUGGUUAAUGUUUGAAUUUUAUAUUACAGGCAUCUGGCGAUUACAGAGAACCAGCUAGUCAUGUUACUGUGUUUGGAUUCUGACUCUGAUUGGUUAAUGUUUGAAUUUUAUAUUACAGGCAUCUGGUGAUUACAGGGAAGCAGAGAAGCAACUAGUCAUGCUGCUGGGUGUGGAUGCCUUUGCUUUCAUUGAAGUCCUCAGACAGUACAGAGGAAUGAUCCUUUGCUGUUCAUGACUGGCUUGGGCACAGAAUGAGAAAGAGAAGAUUGAGAAUAAACCACAACUGUUGAAGAUUCUACAAGCCCUUCAGGCAAGAGAUAAAGAGGGAGAGGUCAAGGAGAGAUCAUGCAAGGAAAAGUCAAGUCGCGGCAGACAUAAAGGCCAUGGAUACAGAUGACACAUAGGAGCUAGCUUUGGAUUGUGAGUAUAUUUGACCUUGAGAACCUGUCCUUCACACAUGGCAGUUACUUAAUGGCAAACAAAAAGUAUCAAUUGCCGGAUGGUUCAUUCAGGAAACAGAGGAAAGGAUAUGAGGAAGUACAUGUUCCAGCACUAACCACAACCCUCCGAUUCAGAUAAGAGACUGAAGUGAUAUAGUAUGAAGGUUGAGGAGUUGACGGGGGCUCUCAGGUGACCAAGGAACAGAUAAAUGCCACACAGAUCGUGUGCACAACGGAGAAGUGUGAUAUCAUCUCUAGGAAAGGAGGGGAGAGAACUUAUACACAACUUGUCAGAUUAAUGAUCUUUGAUGAGGUUCAUUUAUUGUCUGAUGAAAGAGGACCAGUUUUAGAAUCUCUCAUUGACAGAAACAUACCAAACAUGGAAACUACACAAGAAGAUGUACGACUUGUUGGUCUCAGUGCCACAAUACCAAACUACGAGGAUGUAGCAACCUUCCUGCGCUUGGAACCAUCUGAAGGUCUGUUCUUUUCCGACAACAGUUUCUGACCUGUACCACUAGAACAACAGUUUAUCGAUAUAACAGUAUAAACCGGUGAAGAGGUUCGAGAUAAUGAAUGAGAUUGUAUAUAAAAAGGUUAUGGAGCAUGCAGGCAAUAAUCAGAAGGAGACAGGGAAGACAGCUAGAGCAGUACGAGACAGGUGUCUGGAGAAAGAUACCUUAAGACUCCUCUUUAAGAAAGGCUCCGUGUCAGCAGAAGUAUUACAUAAUGAAUGGGAACAUGUGAAAAACUAGGAGCUGAAAGACCUUCCUCCUCACAGCUUUGCUAUACAUCAUGCUGGCAUGAAUAAAUGUUGGGACGUGCCUGAAGACCUUGGUGAGGGUAUAAUGUUGACCGAUCACAGUGAGUUACAGUACUACCCAUCAUUGAUGAAUCAACAGUUGCCAAUUGAGAGGAAGUUUAUUUGCAAAAUGGCUGACAAUUUGAAUGCAGAAGUUGUUCUUGGAACAGUUCAUUCUAGUCAAAGAAGCAGUAGAUUGGUUAGGUGACAGAAUUGGGACAGAUUGCUAGUCACUGUUGCCUUACACAUGAGAUGAUAGCAACAUACAACCAGCUGUUAAAACCUUCACUCAGUGAGAUAGGACAGUUCUAAGUGUUUUACCUCUCAUCAGAGUUGAAAUACAUCACUGACAGAGAGGAGGAGAAACUGCUAGAUAGAGUUCCUAUACCUAUAAAGGAAAGUAUAGAAGAACCAAGUGCUGAAGUUAAUGACUGCUCCUACAGGCAUAUAUCUCACAGUUGAAGUUGGAAGGUUUUGCGUUGAUGGCAUAUAUGGUAUAUGUGACACAGACAGCCAGUCGACUGAUGAGAGCUGUGUUUCAGAGGCUGGGCACAGCUUACAGACAAGGCUCUUGCACUCUCUAAAAUGGUUGAUAAAAGAAUGGAUGUGGCGCAAGUAGAAACUGACAAGGCAGCGAAGCAUUCUUGUGUAGAUGACAACAAUGACUGCAUCUUUAAAAAUGAGGAAAAAAGGUCAACACAGUCAUCAUCAACACUCUGUCAACAGAACUGCUGUUAGAACAUGAAAACAACAGUUUCCAUGCCAAACUAGAACUGGAAUGUCAUGUGCAGUAGACACGGCUUGGCACAAAAGGGGAUUUAACAGUUUAACGUUUCAAGGCGGACAGUUUGCUGCAGAGCUGAACAGCGGACAUACCUUCAAUACAUACGUUUUACCUAAAACACUGAUCACCUCUACAGCCCAACAAGUUACUGGAAUUGUAAUGUCAGGUAGUAACUCUAUGUCAGUAAAUGGAAUGCCAGUGGAAGCGGAAUUUAUAACUCCAUCAUUGGAAAAGUUUUGUAAAUGGCUAGAACAAUUUGACAAUGUCAUUCUGGUGGCCCGCAAUGGCAGAAGAUUUGACUUUCCAAUUCUGAUGAAAGCAGUAGCUUAUUGUAAAAUACUUGAGAGAUCUUUUAAAUGUGUGUCUGGAUUUGUUGAUUCUCUAACAGUUUUAUGCAAACUUUUUCCUGGCAGUUUCUUGUACAGGAAAUUUUGAGUGAAAGUUACAGAGAGUGAAAGCUAUGGAGCACAUAAUGCCACGGAGGAUGUUAAAGCAUUAGGAAAUCUUUGAAAACACGUGACAGUAUCGCCUAAAACAAUGCUUUCAUUUAAUUAUUCUCCAAAAUCUGUACAUCAAAUAUUCAGGCCUCAACCUAAAUCAUUUGAACAUAAUUGUCAAGCACAAGGGAGAAGAUGGGCUGAAGAACACGUACAUUGUUGAUAUAGUGAAGGACAACCAUGUGUUACAAACACAAAGAGGGCGUUAGAGACAGUUAUUCCAAACCUUGUGGAGUACUUAAAAAUGAUUUUAUCAUACCUCAUAGCUUAUGCUUCAUAUUGUAAUUUUAAAAGAGUAAGAAAUGUUCAAAAAUGAUGUGUCUUAAUCUCUAUGUCAAGUUUUAUGCUUUGAUUUGGUUAUCUUCUUUGAACUCUUAGAACAUAUUAUUAUAUGUUUAUGAACAUUUUACUUUUUUUUUUAUUUAUUAAUAUUUAUUUUUAUGUACAAGAGUUACAUGCAUUUUUCAUUAAUGGAAGUAAAAAUGGGAGUUCUUUGUUUUAAAAUCCUGUGAAUUUAGGUUUUACAGUAUAAAGCUUUUGUUUACAUUUUACCCCUCCUCUAAAACAAGAUAUUUUUAGAAAAUCAGAUGGUAAAAAGUAGAUAAUUCUUUGUGUAUUUGUUUUAUACAGUGAUACAAAUAAUUUGUAUUUAGUCACUUCACAUGUAACAUUUAUAACUAGAAUUUUUUCCUGAAAAUUGCCAACUUUACGACUGGGGGUAUAGGAGAAAAGUAUUUCAAAUAAAUUCUUGUACAAAUGUAUAUCAUAAAUCUUCAUAUGUAUUUAUUAUGUCUCCCACCACACAGUGGUAUGGGAGACAUAUUGAUUUACUCAAGUCUGUCUGUCUGUCUGUC